CUACGGGGGGCAGCAGUGAGGAAUAUUGCACAAUGGGGGGAACCCUGAUGCAGCAACGCCGCGUGGAGGAUGACGCAUUUCGGUGUGUAAACUCCUUUUAUAUGUCAAGAAAAUGACGGUAGCAUAUGAAUAAGCACCGGCUAACUCCGUGCCAGCAGCCGCGGUAAUACGGAGGGUGCAAGCGUUACUCGGAGUCACUGGGCGUAAAGGACGCGUAGGCGGGUUGGAAAGUCAGGUGUGAAAUCAUACAGCUUAACUGUAGAACUGCACUUGAAACUUCUAAUCUAGAGUAUGGGAGGGGGAGAUGGAAUUAGUGGUGUAGGGGUAAAAUCCGUAGAUAUCACUAGGAAUACCUAAAGCGAAGGCGAUCUCCUGGAACAUUACUGACGCUAAGGCGUGAAAGCGUGGGGAGCAAACAGGAUUAGAUACCCCAGUAGUC
rnacentral:rRNA from 1 species